GACGAACGCUGGCGGCGUGCCUAAUACAUGCAAGUCGAACGCUCAGGCGAGGAGCUUGCUCUUCUUGCGUGAGUUGCGAACGGGUGAGUAACGCGUAGAUAACCUGCCUUGUAGCGGGGGAUAACUACUGGAAACGGUAGCUAAUACCGCAUAAUAUUGUAUGCCACAUGUUUCUUUUUUGAAAGGCGCUAUUGCUGCACUACAUGAUGGACUUGCGUUGUAUUAGCUUGUAGGUAAGGUAAGGGCUUACCUAGGCGACGAUGCGGAGCCGACCGGAGAGGGGGAUCGGCCACACGGGAACGGAGACAGGGUCAAGACGCCUACGGGAGGAAGCAGUAGGGAAUCUUACGCAAUGGGGGAAAGCCUGACGGAGCAGGGCCGCGUGAGUGAUGAAGGUCUUGGGUUCGGAAAACUGGGUGAUGAGGGAAGAACAAAUGUGGAAGGAAAUAUGCACGGCGUGACGGUACCUAAUCAGAAAGCCACGGCUAACUACGUG
rnacentral:rRNA from 1 species